UUGUGUGUGUGUGUGUGUGUGUGUGUGUGUGUUAAAGACAAUUGUUAACUAUUCUCAGGGCAGUAUCAGCUGGCUGUCUGCAGAGUCCAGAUCCCACAGCACAAAGUAGAGUAGCCCUGAAGCUUAGAAAUGAUGCUUUAAUAACCAACACAAAGAACAAAAUGUGUAAGUAAUACAGUUUGCUUGACAAUGAUUAAAAGACAUACAAAAGAAAACAGUAACAGUGACUCCCUUGUUGUGGCUAUCACCUCCUAGUUGUAUAGAUCUUCCGGUUCUUGCAUACUAGCGAGAGAUUCAUAAUGAAGUAGUAUGUGUCCUCUGCCAGUAGAUGAAUGGGGAUGUGGUUGUGUGUAUGGGUUCUCUGUAUGUAUGGCUUGUAUUCCCCUCCUGUGUGGCCCCUGAAUGCACAACUCAUUGAACUCUAUUCCCAGCACUGGUGGAAUCAACAGGAGCCUCUUUUAACUUGUCAGCCAGCCAGGAAGGAUGGCAGGGGAACAGUAUGUGAAAGAGAAUUUAGAAUUUACAAAUUUUAAUCAGAUUUGGAAACUGUAAGUCUUUGUAUUCUUAAAUUAUCAGUUUAAUUCCUAAUUGUUGACCUUCCAGAAUGGACAGCAGUUGGGAAGAUAGCAAUACACAAAUAGACACACACAUAUUAGUGUUAUUAAUAAAUACAUUUAAUAGAGCCAAAAUGGCAGGAACAGUGCCACCAUUGUUACCAGAUUAAUGAGCUGAAGCAAAUUUGUCCCUAGAAUGAUCCCCAUGGUCACCCAGAAGUCUUUUAUGAUUCCCCUGCUGUAUAUUGCUUUAAAACAUCUUAACUCCUCUGUGUAGUUGUGUGGUUAGGCGUCACAGAGCCGCCUCCUAGUAGUGUCUGAUCUGUGUUUGGUACAACAGGGGGAUCAUUUCCUUUUAUGCUAAAGUAUUUUUGUGUUACUGUACCAAUCAUCCAAAUAUAUUGAAAUUGUGCCUACAUCAUAUCUCAUAAAUAUGCUAUUAUUAUUUCAGGCUUUCUUCAUUUGGCUUGGCUUCCUACAUCACCUCUGGAAAGUAGAAAUGCCAGGUGUUUCUUCCUGAGAUCUCCUGAUCUAGAGAAGAUUAAGAAGAAAUGGCCUACACCACAGCAUGCCCUGGAGAUCGUUAAUCAAUAGGUGUUUGAGUGCCUCCUCACUGUAAGCCUUCGUCCUGGUCUCCUUCUACCUUUGAUGUUAACUGGCUAACGCCAUGGUUCAUUUCCUGUUAUUUGCAACUUUGGAAUGAAACGCAAACAUGAAGUCAAAGCAAAUGAAAGGCCCAUGCCAGCUAUCCUGUUAAGGACUGCAGCUGUGGUGUUGGAAGGUUCCAGUGCACCUUCCCUCCUCCUACACCCCAGAUGGAGGAGGCCUUCCUUCGCAGGCAGGGUUAUGAAGUACUCAAAAUAAUAAAGGCAAAGGUUUAUACAAGUUCUGAAGAAACUGUUUCCUUAACAGGAAAUGAAACUGCCAGUGCUUCACAAAGCAGACAAAAUAACUAAUUUGAUGAAGAAAUCAUGCUGAUUCACCAGAAGAAAACUGUCUUAAUCAUAAUCAACUGAACAUUUGUGUAAAAUGUACACCUUGCUUGGAGGUGCAGGAAGUGACCUUAAGCUGAGAGCUGAGGAAGAGUAGGAAGUUACUUAGAUGAAGAAGAGUGGAGACCUCCAAAGAAGAAUGGUGCCAUGUCAAUAAUUAUAUUUAAUAAAGAAUGACUGAAAAAAAAAAAAGAAUGAUUGAAGGACCGGUUAUCUGAUGUGUCUAUCUUUGAAUCAUCAGUGGAUGGGGCAGUCA